AAGACUAUACUUUCAGGGAUCAUUUCUAUAGUUUUUGACUGGAGAAAUGUGCUCUAAAGUGUCUGAACUCGCUAACCACGAGGAAGAGGUUAAGUGUUUACUCCUGAGCGUGAAGCGAGCUUGCAGUGCUGUGUAAUACAGUGGCUGCUUGCUAUUGAUGAUCGUUCUUGUCUUCAUAACGAAGACAUUGAUGGAGGAAACAUAAGCUGAGUGGU